CCCCCUGGUGCCCUGUUGACAGCGAGGUCUUUUCUCAGGCCUGCAGGUACGGACACGUGCAGCACCUGGAGCACCUGCUCUUCUACGGGGCGGACAUGGGGGCUCAGAAUGCCUCAGGGAACACGGCCCUGCACAUCUGUGCCCUCUACAACCAGGACAGCUGUGCGCGGGUGCUGCUGUUCCGGGGCGGGGACAAGGAGCUGAAGAACUACAACAGCCAGACCCCCUUCCAGUGCUGGUGGCUCCCAGAGCCCCUUCCUACCGCUGAAACUUCAAGUCCAGCCCUGGCCAGUUCGGCUCAGUGGAUAGAG